rnacentral:piRNA from 1 species
UGACUGAAUGAUUCUUUUGGAGAAAAUAGU